AACGAACGCUGGCGGCAUGCCUAACACAUGCAAGUCGAACGAGACCUCCGGGUCUAGUGGCGCACGGGUGCGUAACGCGUGGGAACUUGCCCUUAGGUUCGGAAUAACUCCCCGAAAGGGGUGCUAAUACCGGAUAAUGUCUUCGGACCACAGAUUUAUCGCCUUUGGAUGGGCCCGCGUUGGAUUAGCUAGUUGGUAGGGUAAAAGCCUACCAAGGCGACGAUCCAUAGCUGGUCUGAGAGGAUGAUCAGCCACACUGGGACUGAGACACGGCCCAGACGCCUACGAGAGGCAGCAGUGGGGAAUAUGGGACAAUGGGCGAAAGCCUGAUCCAGCAAGGCCGCGUGAGUGAUGAAGGCCUUAGGGUUGUAAAGCUCUUUUACCCGGGAUGAUAAUGACAGUACCGGGAGAAUAAGCUCCGGCUAACUCCGU
rnacentral:rRNA from 1 species